GGACUACACGGGUUUCUAAUCCUGUUUGCUCCCCACGCUUUCGUGCAUGAGCGUCAGUAUUGGCCCAGGGGGCUGCCUUCGCCAUCGGUAUUCCUCCACAUCUCUACGCAUUUCACUGCUACACGUGGAAUUCUACCCCCCUCUGCCAUACUCCAGUCCGCCAGUCACAAAUGCAGUUCCCAGGUUAAGCCCGGGGAUUUCACAUCUGUCUUAACGAACCGCCUGCGCACGCUUUACGCCCAGUAAUUCCGAUUAACGCUUGCACCCUACGUAUUACCGCGGCGGCUGGCAC
rnacentral:rRNA from 2 species